AUUGAACGCUGGCGGCAGGCCUAACACAUGCAAGUCGAGCGGAUGACGGGAGCUUGCUCCUUGAUUCAGCGGCGGACGGGUGAGUAAUGCCUAGGAAUCUGCCUGGUAGUGGGGGACAACGUUUCGAAAGGAACGCUAAUACCGCAUACGUCCUACGGGAGAAAGCAGGGGACCUUCGGGCCUUGCGCUAUCAGAUGAGCCUAGGUCGGAUUAGCUAGUUGGUGAGGUAAUGGCUCACCAAGGCGGCGAUCCGUAACUGGUCUGAGAGGAUGAUCAGUCACACUGGAACUGAGACACGGUCCAGACUCCUACGGGAGGCGCAUG
rnacentral:rRNA from 1 species